rnacentral:rRNA from 1 species
AAUAUUGCACCAUGGAGGGAACUCUGAUGCAGCAACGCCGCGUGAGUGAAGAAGGNUUNNGGGUCNUNAAACUCUGUCAUUGGNNNNNAAUAAAUGACGGUACCCAAUGAGGAAGCGCCGGCUAACUACGUGCCAGCAGCCGCGGUAAUUCGUAUGGGGAGAUCGUUGUCCGGAAUUACUGGGCGUAAAGGGUCGGUAGGCGACUAUAUAAGUCAGGUGUGAAAUACCAGUGCUUAACACUGGAAUUGCAUUGGAAACUGUGUAGCUUGAGUGCAGGAGAGGAAAGUGGAAUUCCUAGUGUAGCGGUGAAAUGCGUAGAGAUUAGGAGGAACACCAGUGGCGAAGGCGACUUUCUGGACUGUAACUGACGCUGAGGUACGAAAGCGUGGGUAGCGAACA